AAAACUGUUCGUAACUUGAAAGCGCUUCGACUUUUGAUCGUGCAAGUUAGACUAGGAAGAGAGACCAGUCAAAGAUCUACAAGAUGAUGCCCGAAUCGCUUACUAUCUCGAAGGAUUGGCUGUGAUCUGCUUCUGUCAAGCGCUACACAAGGUACUGGGUGUGGCUUAUAACCUGAGGCAGCUAUGUGUAAAGAGAAACAGUGACAGUGGUAAAAAGGUGUGACUGGAUCCAAUAAUCAGAGGUGGGGCCACGUAUGUACAGUGAACAGAGGAACAGUGGCAGUAGCAGCGAGAUAUAAAAAAGUGUCUGAUGUCUGUGGCUACUGCUGAUACUUUGCUGUCACACUAUGCACUGCCACUGGGUCCCUUUUGGAGUACCUUGGAGUCGCCUCUGUCAAGAGUAGAAUACACGACAAUGCCAUGUACAGGAAGGUUGACGUUGGUGGUAGGACCUUCACAACAGUGCUCAGCUCAUGCAGUGUCAAUGUCCUAUCCAGAUCUACAUUUUUGAUAAUUUAUUGUUGUAAUUAUUGUUGUACUGUACCGGGUAUUUGAUAAUCUUCUUUUUAUUCUAUA